AACGAACGCUGGCGGCAGGCUUAACACAUGCAAGUCGAACGCAUCCUUCGGGGUGAGUGGCAGACGGGUGAGUAACGCGUGGGAACGUGCCCUUCAGUUCGGGAUAACCCAGGGAAACUUGGGCUAAUACCGGAUACGUGCGAGAGCAGAAAGAUUUAUCGCUGAAGGAUCGGCCCGCGUCUGAUUAGCUGGUUGGUGGGGUAAUGGCCCACCAAGGCGACGAUCAGUAGCUGGUCUGAGAGGAUGAUCAGCCACAUUGGGACUGAGACACGGCCCAAACUCCUACGGGAGGCAGCAGUGGGGAAUAUUGGACAAUGGGCGCAAGCCUGAUCCAGCCAUGCCGCGUGAGUGAUGAAGGCCUUAGGGUUGUAAAGCUCUUUCGUCCGGGACGAUAAUGACGGUACCGGAAGGAGAAGCCCCGGCUAACUUCGUGCCAGCCGCCGCCGUAAGAC
rnacentral:rRNA from 1 species